UCGAAUUCCCGACCACCUCCUCCUCCCUGUGGUCGGGACCGGCGACAUCCCUUUCUCCUCCUCCCUGAGGGAUGUCGCCCAAAGUUACGCCGGAACCCGAUCCUCCUCCCCGGGUUUCAAGC
rnacentral:sRNA from 16 species